AGCGGCGGAUGGGUGAGUAACACGUGGGGAACCUGCCCCUAAGUCUGGGAUACCAUUUGGAAACAGGUGCUAAUACCGGAUAAUAAAGCAGAUCGCAUGAUCAGCUUUUGAAAGGCGGCGUAAGCUGUCGCUAAGGGAUGGCCCCGCGGUGCAUUAGCUAGUUGGUAAGGUAACGGCUUACCAAGGCGACGAUGCAUAGCCGAGUUGAGAGACUGAUCGGCCACAUUGGGACUGAGACACGGCCCAAACUCCUACGGGAGGCAGCAGUAGGGAAUCUUCCACAAUGGACGCAGGUCUGAUGGAGCAACGCCGCGUGAGUGAAGAAGGUUUUCGGAUCGUAAAGCUCUGUUGUUGGUGAAGAAGGAUAGAGGUAGUAACUGGCCUUUAUUUGACGGUAAUCAACCAGAAAGUCACGGCUAACUACGUGCCAGCAGCCGCGGUAAUACGUAGGUGGCAAGCGUUGUCCGGAUUUAUUGGGCGUAAAGCGAGCGCAGGCGGAAAAAUAAGUCUAAUGUGAAAGCCCUCGGCUUAACCGAGGAACUGCAUCGGAAACUGUUUUUCUUGAGUGCAGAAGAGGAGAGUGGAACUCCAUGUGUAGCGGUGGAAUGCGUAGAUAUAUGGAAGAACACCAGUGGCGAAAGCGGCUCUCUGGUCUGCAACUGACGCUGAGGCUCGAAAGCAUGGGUAGCGAACAGGAUUAGAUACCCUGGGUAGUCCAUGCCGUAACGAUGAGUGCUAAGUGU
rnacentral:rRNA from 1 species